UAAACUUUUAUAGUAUUUCACUUACCCUGAAAAUAAUCUAUUAAAAUAAUAAUUAA
rnacentral:tRNA from 1 species